GGCCAGCAGCCGCGGUAAUACGAAGGGGGCUAGCGUUGCUCGGAUUUACUGGGCGUAAAGGGCGCGUAGGCGGACGAUUUAGUCAGAGGUGAAAGCCCGGGGCUCAACCCCGGAAUUGCCUUUGAUACUGGUCGUCUUGAGUUUGGGAGAGGUGUGUGGAACUCCGAGUGUAGAGGUGAAAUUCGUAGAUAUUCGGAAGAACACCAGUGGCGAAGGCGACACACUGGCCCAAUACUGACGCUGAGGCGCGAAAGCGUGGGGAGCAAACAGGAUUAGAUACCCUGGUAGUCCACGCCGUAAACGAUGAUUGCUAGUUGUCGGCACGCAUGCGUGUCGGUGACGCAGCUAACGCAUUAAGCAAUCCGCCUGGGGAGUACGGUCGCAAGAUUAAAACUUAAAGGAAUUGGCGGGGGA
rnacentral:rRNA from 1 species